rnacentral:rRNA from 1 species
GAUGAACGCUAGCUACAGGCUUAACACAUGCAAGUCGAGGGGAAACGGCAUUAAGUGCUUGCACUUUUUGGAAGUCGACCGGCGCACGGGUGAGUAACGCGUAUCCAACCUUCCCAUGACUAAGGGAUAACCUGCCGAAAGGCAGACUAAUACCUUAUGGUCUUCACUGACGGCAUCAGAUGUGAAGUAAAGAUUUAUCGGUUAUGGAUGGGGAUGCGUCUGAUUAGCUUGUUGGCGGGGUAACGGCCCACCAAGGCAACGAUCAGUAGGGGUUCUGAGAGGAAGGUCCCCCACAUUGGAACUGAGACACGGUCCAAACUCCUACGGGAGGCAGCAGUGAGGAAUAUUGGUCAAUGGGCGAGAGCCUGAACCAGCCAAGUAGCGUGCAGGAUGACGGCCCUAUGGGUUGUAAACUGCUUUUGUAUGGGGAUAAAGUCAAUCACGUGUGAUUGUUUGCAGGUACCAUACGAAUAAGGACCGGCUAAUUCCGUG